rnacentral:snRNA from 1 species
AUAAUCACACGAAGGUGGUUUCCCAGGGCGAGGCUCAUGCAUUGCACUCCGGACGUGCUGACCCCUGCGAUUUCCCCAAAGGUGGGACACUUCGGCUGCAUCAUUUGCGGUCCUGGGGGACUGCGUUCGCGCUCUCCCGAG